rnacentral:rRNA from 1 species
CCUACGGGCGGCAGCAGUGAGGAAUAUUGGUCAAUGGACGAGAGUCUGAACCAACCAAGUAGCGUGAAGGAUGACUGCCCUAUGGGUUGUAAACUUCUUUUAUAUGGGAAUAAAAUGUUCCACGUGUGGGAUUUUGUAUGUACCAUAUGAAUAAGGAUCGGCUAACUCCGUGCCAGCAGCCGCGGUAAUACGGAGGAUCCGAGCGUUAUCCGGAUUUAUUGGGUUUAAAGGGAGCGUAGGUGGAUUGUUAAGUCAGUUGUGAAAGUUUGCGGCUCAACCGUAAAAUUGCAGUUGAAACUGGCAGUCUUGAGUACAGUAGAGGUGGGCGGAAUUCGUGGUGUAGCGGUGAAAUGCUUAGAUAUCACGAAGAACUCCGAUUGCGAAGGCAGUUCACUGGACUGCAACUGACACUGAGGCUCGAAAGUGUGGGUAUCAAACAGGAUUAGAUACCCCUGUAGUC